rnacentral:lncRNA from 1 species
CCAUAUCCACAGCCGCAACCACAGUAUUCGCAACCACAACAACCAAUUUCGCAGCAGCAGCAGCAGCAGCAGCAACAACAACAACAACAACAACAAAUCCUACAACAAAUUUUGCAACAACAACUGAUUCCAUGCAGGGAUGUUGUAUUGCAACAACACAACAUAGCGCAUGGAAGCUCACAAGUUUUGCAAGAAAGUACUUACCAGCUGGUGCAACAAUUGUGUUGUCAGCAGCUGUGGCAGAUCCCCGAGCAGUCGCGGUGCCAAGCCAUCCACAAUGUUGUUCAUGCUAUUAUUCUGCAUCAACAACACCACCACCACCAACAACAACAACAACAACAACAACAACAACCGUUGAGCCAAGUCUCCUUCCAACAGCCUCAGCAACAAUAUCCAUCAGGCCAGGGCUUCUUCCAACCAUCUCAGCAAAACCCACAGGCCCAGGGCUCUUUCCAGCCUCAACAACUGCCCCAGUUUGAGGCAAUAAGGAACCUAGCGCUACAGACGCUACCUGCAAUGUGCAAUGUGUAUAUCCCUCCAUAUUGCACCAUUGCUCCAUUUGGCAUCUUCGGUACUAACUGAGAAGAGAAGAACUCUAGUAGUAGAUAUAUGAUACACCGUUUUCUUAGUCCAUGGUUUGGUCGUUGUAGCGGUGAAAAAAUAAAGUGACAUGCACUAUCAUGUAAGAACCUGAACUAUACUAGUUCAAACUUGGGAAUAAAAGACAAACACAGGUCUUGUCUACAUAUGAUUGUUUGUUUGAGUUCCACUCAUGUGCCCAUUCACAAGUUCACCCCUAAUUAUAUAUAUUAUGCAUUAAGUAGAUAUUUAUGUUGCAUUAAUCUAAAGAUAACAAAAUGAGUCUGAAAUUUGAAUUAAAUUGAAGUAUUUCCUUGGACUUUCAAAUGGAGUAUUAUUAAAGUAGUAAGGACUAUCCACAUCCUUGGCUUGCCCUUGAUCAAUUAUUUGCUGAGAAGCAUUCAAUUCGUCAAUCAAUUACAUUGAUUUUUGUGGCUGGUACUUCUCCUCAACAUGAGUAUAUUCAUCGUGGCUACUCCAAAUCGGCAUGAAUGAGGUACCGGUGCUCUGGAGCACUAGUACCUAACAGCUUCUCAUGUGAAGGGGUGCGGGCACGGGAGAGGUGUUUUUGGUGGGUCAAGGGAGUAAGAAGCGGCCGUGGCAGCGGUCCAGACGCCCACAAAGCCUCGUAGUUUGUUUUUGGUUUACAGGAAAAUGCACAUCCAGACUGGCCUGCGGGCCGAUAUAGGACCGUAUUGGAUGGCAAAACAUGUCCAGAUGGUUGUGAGCGGUUUGAGGGUUAGCUUUUGUAACGCCCGGUUAGUUAUGCUAUGGUAGUUCCCUGCUAAUGAUGUCACGUCACCACGAUUACUGUUGUUAACCUCACAAUGAUUCAAUCCCAUUCAAAUCCAAAUUUAAAAUAAAGGCAAACAUCAAAAGUUUCAAACAUUAAAACUAAAAUCUUCGAGAGGUGAAAAAUAAUGCAUAAGUAAUUAUGGUGGAGAAACCACACUUUUAUAAAAUGUUUAAAUACUCUAAAAGGAAUAAAACAGUGGCUUAAACUAUUAUUUAAAUGCUUUUAAAAUAGUAAAAAUGUUCUAACUAAAUUAAUUGGGUACCAAACUUUUGGUGGCAGUGGUAUAUUUAGUAGAAAAAAUUUAGAUGCUAAUUAUAUAAUUUACAAAAUUAAAGUAAAUUAAAAAAUAGGAUAAAACAUAAAAGGAAAGACAAAACAAAUAAAAGCAAAAGGGGGCAACCCCUCACUGAGCCUCGGCCUAGCUGGCCACUAGGCUAGCUAGGCCGGCCCAGCCGCCUCCCUUAACCCCCCACUCCCCAUCGAACAAUAGCCCGAUCGCCCCACUUCCCCCACACCCCCUCGUCAGCCUCCCCACCUCUCGAUCCCAUCUGGAUCGGGGAGGGGAUCGCCCCCAUCGACCCCGUCGCCAUCGCCGGAUCACCCGCUCGCCCAUCGCCCGCCGGCGUCGCCGGGCCUCCUCCCCGCCGCCCGUCUCCGGCUCUCCUCCCCUCUCGCUCCUCUUCCCCGACCCGAUAUGGAUCGAGAAGGGGCAAUGAGCCCGACGCCCCCCUCCACCGACGUUGUGCGCCAGCACCGCCACCCGAAGACCUCGUCGUCGCCGGACCUCGCGUCGCCUCCUCGUAUCUCUCCCCGACUCGCCUCCUCAAGCCACGCCGACCCCCUUCUCGGCAACGCUGUGAGCCGCCCCCGUUUCCCUCCUUCUCUUUCCACCGUGUUUGAUAAGUCUCCAACGUAUCUAUAAUUUUUGAUUGUUCCAUGCUAUAUUAUAUUCUGUUUUGGAUGAUUAAUGGGAUUUAUUAUACACUUUUAUAUUAUUUUUGGGACUAACCUAUUAACCGGAGGCCCAGCCCAAAUUGCUGUUUUUUUGCCUAUUUCAGUGUUUCGCAGAAAAAGAAUAUCAAACGGAGUCCAAACGGAAUGAAACCUUCGGGAAUGUGAUUUUCGGAACAAACGUGAUCCAGAGGACUUGGAGUGGACGUCAAGCAACAGACGAGGAAGCCACGAGGUAGGGGCGCGCCUACCCUCCUGGGCGCGCCCUCCACCCUCAUGGGCCCCUCGUGGCUCCACUGACCUACUUCUUCCUCCUAUAUAUACCUACGUACCCCCAAACCAUCAGAAGCGACCACAAAAACCUAAUUCCACCGCCGCAACCUUCUGUACCCGUGAGAUCCCAUCUUAGGGCCUUUUCCGGCGUCCUGCCGGAGGGGGCAUUGAUCACGGAGGGCUUCUACAUCAACACCAUAGCCUCUCCGAUGAUGUGUGAGUAGUUUACCUCAGACCUUCGGGUCCAUAGUUAUUAGCUAGAUGGCUUCUUCUCUCUCUUUGGAUCUCAAUACAAAGUUCUCCUCGUUUCUCUUGGAGAUCUAUUUGAUGUAACUCUUCUUUUUGCGGUGUGUUUGUCGAGAUCCGAUGAAUUGUGGGUUUAUGAUCAAGAUUAUCUAUGAACAAUAUUUGAAUCUCCUCUGAAUUCUUUUAUGUAUGAUUGGUUAUCUUUGCAAGUCUCUUCGAAUUAUCAGUUUGGUUUGGCCUACUAGAUUGAUCUUUCUUGCAAUGGGAGAAGUGCUUAGCUUUGGGUUCAAUCCUGCGGUGUCCUUUCCCAGUGACAGCAGGGGCAGCAAGGCACGUAUUGUAUUGUUGCCAUCGAGGAUAAAAAGAUGGGGUUUAUAUCAUGUUGCAUGAGUUUAUCCCUCUACAUCAUGUCAUCUUGCUUAAAGCGUUACUCUGUUUUUAUGAACUUAAUACUCUAGAUGCAUGCUGGAUAGCGGUCGAUGUGUGGAGUAAUAGUAGUAGAUGCAGAAUCGUUUUGGUCUACUUGUCACGGACGUGAUGCCUAUAUACAUGAUCAUACCUAGAUAUUCUCAUAACUAUGCUCAAUUCUAUCAAUUGCUCGACAGUAAUUCGUUUACCCACCAUAAUACUUAUGCUCUUGAGAGAAGCCACUAGUGAAACCUAUGGCCCCCGGGUCUAUUUUCCAUCAUAUUAAUCUUCCGUCAACAAGCUAUUUCUAUCUUUAUUUACCUUGUAAUCUUUACUUUUACUCUUUAUCAUAAAAAUACCAAAAAUAUUAUCUUAUCAUCUCUAUCAGAUCUCACUCUCGUAAGUGACCGUGAAGGGAUUGACAACCCCUUUAUCGCGUUGGUUGCGAGGUUCUUAUUUGUUUGUGUAGGUGCGUGGGACUUGAGUGUGGCCUCCUACUGGAUUGAUACCUUGGUUCUCAAAAACUGAGGAAAAUACUUACGCUACUUUACUGCAUCACCCUUUCCUCUUCAAGGGAAAACCAACGCAGUGCUCAAGAGGUAGCAAGAAGGAUUUCUAGCACCGUUGCCGGGGAGUCUACGCACAAGUCAAGACAUACCAAGUACCCGUCACAAACUCUUAUCCCUCGCAUUACAUUAUUUGCCAUUUGCCUCUCGUUUUCCUCUCCCCCACUUCACCCUUGCCGUUUUAUUCGCCUCCUUUUCGUUUGCUUCUUGUUUGCUCGUGUGUUGGAUUGCUUGUUUGUCGCGAUGGCUCUACCUAGAUUUGGUGAUCUUCCAUUAAAAGGUUAGAAGAGAUUGAAAGCAACGUCAGAAGUUUCAUGACUUUACAAUUUGAGCAUAACAAUUUCUUUAGAAACGAGCUUAAGGAACAAAAAAGCUUUAUGGGUUACAUGAAUAAAGAGCUCGACGAUAUGUCUAAGGAAUUUUAUGGUCUAAAAUCUUAGAUUUCUCAUCUCGAAAAAUUAAUUGCUGAAAUUUCGGAUAAGCAGGCCACCUUAGUUAAUAAGAUGGCCGCUAAACCGGUAAUUUUUUAUGAGAAUAAAGAUGAAGAUCUAAAAGUUAUUGAUGUGUCCCCUAUUAAAUCUUAGUUUUGCAAUAUGAAUCUUGAUAAUGAUGGGACUGGAGAUGAGUCAACUUUAGUUAAAAGGCGUCCCAAAAAUUCGGAGUUUUUAGAUCUUGAUGCAAAAUUUGGUAAAAGUGGGAUUGAAGAGGUCAAAACUUUAGAUAUCAAUGAACCCACUAUCUUGGAUUUCAAGGAAUUUAAUUAUGAUAAUUGCUCUUUGAUAUAUUUUAUUUCCUUGUUGCAAUCCGUGUUAAAUUCUCCUCAUGCUUAUAGUCAAAAUAAAGCUUUUACUAAACAUAUCGUUGUUGCUUUGAUGCAAUCUUAUGAAGAAAAACUUGAGUUGGAAGUUUCUAUCCCUAGAAAACUUUAUGAUGAAUGGGAACCUACAAUUAAAAUUAAAAUUAAAGAUCAUGAAUGCUAUGCUUUGUGUGAUUUGGGUGCUAGUGUUUCCACGAUCCCAAAAACUUUGUGUGAUUUGCUAGGUUUCCGUGAAUUUGAUGAUUGUUCUCUAAAUUUGCAUCUUGCGGAUUCCACCAUCAAGAAACCUAUGGGAAGAAUUAAUGAUGUUAUUAUUGUUUCAAAUAGGAACUAUGUGCCCGUAGAUUUUAUUGUUCUUGAUAUAGAUUACAAUCCUUCAUGUCCUAUUAUUUUUGGUAGACCUUUCCUUAGAACGAUUGGUGCAAUUAUUGAUAUGAAAGAAGGAAAUAUUAGAUUCCAAUUUCCGUUAAGGAAAGGUAUGGAACACUUUCCUAGAAAGAAAAUAAAAUUACCUUAUGAAUCUAUUAUGAGAGCUACUUAUGGAUUGCCUACCAAAGAUGGCAAUACCUAGAUCUAUCCUCGCUUUUAUGCCUAGCUAGGGGCGUUAAAUGGUAGCGCUUGUUGGGAGGCAACCCAAAUUUUAUUUUAGUUUUUUUGCUUUUUUGCUUCUGUUUAGGAAUAAAUCUUUGAUCUAGACUCUGGUUAGACUUGUUUUUAUGUUUUAAUUAGUGUUUGUGCCAAGUUAAACCUAUAGGAUCUUCUUGGAUGAUAGUUAUUUGAUCUUGCUGAAAAUUCCAGAAACUUUCUGUUCACGAAAACAAUUGUUAAAAAUCACCAGAACGUGAUAAAAUACUGAUUCUAAUUGCAGUAGAUCAAUAAACAAAUUAUCUAGGUCUUCCUAUUUUGGUAGAUUUUUCUGAGUUACAUAAGUUUGUGUUAGUUACAGAUUACUACAGACUGUUCUGUUUUUGACAGAUUCUGUUCUUCGUGUGUUGUUUGCUUAUUUUGAUGAAUCUAUGGCUAGUAAAAUAGUUUAUAAACCAUAGAUAAGUUGGAAUACAUUAGGUUUAACACCAAUAUAAAUAAAGAAUGAGUUCAAUACAGUACCUUGAAGUGGUGUUUUGUUUUCUUUCGCUAACGGAGCUCACGAGAUUUUCUGUUAAGUUUUGUGUUGUGAAGUUUUCAAGUUUUGGGUAAAGAUUUGAUGGAUUAUGGAACAAGGAGUGGCAAGAGCCUAAGCUUGGGGACGCCCAAGGCACCCCAAGGUAAAUCUAAGGACACCAAAAAUCCAAAGCUUGGGGAUGCCCCGGAAGGUAUCCACUCUUUCGUCUUCGUCCAUCGGUAACUUUACUUGGAGCUAUAUUUUUAUUCACCACAUGAUAAGUGUUUUGCUUGGAGCGUCUUGUAUGAUUUGAGUAUUUGCUUUUUAGUUUACCACAUUCAUACUUGCUGUACACACCUUUUGAGAGAGACACACAUGAUUCAGAAUUUAUUAGAAUACUCUAUGUGCUUCACUUAUAUCUUUUGAGCUAUAUAGUUUUUGCUCUAGUGCUUCACUUAUAUCUUUUAGAGCACGGUGGUGGUUUUGUUUUAUAGAAACUAUUUUUCUCUCAUGCUUCACUUAUAUCAUUUUGAGAGUCCUACAUAACAGCAUGGUAAUUUGCUUAAAUUGAGAAAUUAGUCCUAAUAUGAUAGGCAUCCAAGAUUAGUAAAAACUUUCUUAUAAGUGCGUUGAAUACUAAGAAAAGUUUGAUGCUUGAUGAUUGUUUUGAGAUAUGGAGGUAGUGAUAUUAAAGUUGUGCUAGUUGAGUAGUUUUGAAUUUGAGAAAUACUUGCGUUGAAGUUUGCAAGUCCCGUAGCAUGCACGUAUGGUAAACGUUGUGUAACAAAUUUGAAACAUGAGGUGUUCUUUGAUUGUCCUCCUUAUGAGUGGCGGUCGGGGACGAGUGAUGGUCUUUUCCUACCAAUCUAUCCCCCUAGGAGCAUGCGCGUAGUGCUUGGUUUUUGAUGACUUGUAGAUUUUUGCAAUAAGUAUGUGAGUUCUUUAUGACUAAUGUUGAGUCCAUGGAUUAUACGCACUCUCACCCUUCCAUCAUUGCUAGCAUCUUCGGUACCGUGCAUUGCCCUUUCUCACCUUGAGAGUUGGUGCAAAUUUCGCCGGUGCAUCCAGACCCCGUGAUACGAUACGCUCUGUCACACAUAAACCUCCUUAUAUCUUCCUCAAAACAGCCACCAUACCUACCUGUUAUGGCAUUUCCAUAGCCAUUCCGAGAUAUAUUGUCAUGCAACUUUCCACCGUUCCGUUUAUCAUGACACGUUUCAACAUUGUCAUAUUGCCUUGCAUGAUCAUGUAGUUGACAUCGUAUUUGUGGCAAAGCCACCGUUCAUAAUUUUUCAUACAUGUCACUCUUGAUUCAUUGCCCAUCCCGGUACACCGCCGGAGGCAUUCAUAUAGAGUCAUACUUUGUUCUAGUAUCGAGUUGUAAUCAUUGAGUUAUAAAUAAAUAGAAGUGUGAUGAUCAUCAUUCAUAGAGCAUUGUCCCAAAAAAAGGAGAAAGGCCAAAUGAAAAAAAGGCCCAAAAAAAGGGGCAAUGUUACUAUCCUUUUUCCAUACUUGUGCUUCAAAGUAGCACCAUGGUCUUUAUGAUAGAGAGUCUCUUGUUUUGUCACUUUCAUAUACUAGUGGGAAUUUUUCAUUAUAGAACUUGGCUUGUAUAUUCCCACAAUGGGCUUCCUCAAAUGCCCUAGGUCUUCGUGAGCAAGCAAGUUGGAUGCACACCCACUUAGUUUCUUUUGUUGAGCUUUCAUGCAUUUAUAGCUCUAGUGCAUCCGUUGCAUGGCAAUCCCUACUCCUUGCAUUGACAUCAAUCGAUGGGCAUCUCCCUAGCUCGUUGAUUAGCCGCGUCAAUGUGAGACUUUCUUUUCUUUUUUUCUUCUCCACAUAACCCCCAUCAUCAUAUUAUAUUCCACCCAUAGUGUUAUAUCCAUGGCUCACGCUCAUAUAUUGCGUGAAAGUUGAAUUUUUUUUGAGAUUACUAAAGUAUGAAACAAUUGCUUGGCUUGUAAUCGGGGUUGUGCAUGAUGAGAGCAUUCUUGUGUGACGAAAAUGGGGCAUGACCAAACUAUAUGAUUUUGUAGGGAUGAACUUUCUUUGGCCAUGUUAUUUUGAGAAGACAUAAUUGCUUAGUUAGUAUGCUUGAAGUAUUAUUACUUUUAUGUCAAUAUUAAACUUUUAUCUUGAAUCUUUCGGAUCUGAAUAUUCAUACCACAAAUAAGAGAAUUACAUUGAAAAUUAUGCUAAGUAGCAUUCCACAUCAAAAAUUCUGUUUUUAUCAUUUACCUACUCGAGGACGAGCAGGAAUUAAGCUUGGGGAUGCUUGAUACGUCUCCAACGUAUCUAUAAUUUUUGAUUGUUCCAUGCUAUAUUAUAUUCUGUUUUGGAUGAUUAAUGGGCUUUAUUAUACACUUUUAUUAUUUUUGGGACUAACCUAUUAACCGGAGGCCCAGCCCAAAUUGUUGUAUUUUUUGCCUAUUUUAGUGUUUCGCAGAAAAAGAAAAUCAAACGGAGUCCAAACGGAAUGAAACCUUCGGGAACGUGAUUUUCGGAACAAAUGUGAUCCAGAGGACUUGGAGUGGACGUCAAGGAACAGACGAGGAAGCCAUGAGGUAGGGGGGCGCGCCUACCCCCUGGGCGCGCCCUCCACCCUCGUGGCUCCACCGACCUACUUCUUCCUCCUAUAUAUACCUACGUACCCCCAAACCAUCAGAAGCGACCAUGAAAACCUAAUUCCACCACCGCAACCUUCUAUACCCCUGAGAUCCCAUCUUGGGGCCUUUUCCGGCGUCCUGCCGGAGGGGGCAUUGAUCACGGAGGGCUUCUACAUCAACACCAUAGCCUCUCCGAUGAUGUGUGAGUAGUUUACCUCAGACCUUCGGGUCCAUAGUUAUUAGCUAGAUGGCUUCUUCUCUCUCUUUGGGUCUCAAUACAAAGUUCUCCUCGUUUCUCUUGGAGAUCUAUUUGAUGUAACUCUUCUUUUUGCGGUGUGUUUGUCGAGAUCCGAUGAAUUGUGGGUUUAUGAUCAAGAUUAUCUAUGAACAAUAUGUGAAUCUCCUAUGAAUUCUUUUAUGUAUGAUUGGUUAUCUUUGCAAGUCUCUUCGAAUUAUCAGUUUGGUUUGGCCUACUAGAUUGAUAUUUCUUGCAAUGGGAAAAGUGCUUAGCUUUGGGUUCAAUCUUGCGGUGUCCUUUCCCAGUGACAGCAGGGGCAGCACGGCACAUAUUGUAUUGUUGCCAUCGAGGGUAAAAAGAUGGGGUUUAUAUCAUAUUGCAUUAGUUUAUCCCUCUACAUCAUGUCAUCUUGCUUAAAGCGUUACUCUGUUCUUACGAACUUAAUGCUCUAGAUGCAUGCUGGAUAGCGGUCGAUGUGUGGAGUAAUAGUAGUAGAUGCAGAAUCGUUUCGGUCUACUUGUCACGGACGUGAUGCCUAUAUACAUGAUCAUACCUAGAUAUUCUCAUAACUAUACUCAAUUCUAUCAAUUGCUCGACAGUAAUUCGUUUACCCACCGUAAUACUUAUGCUCUUGAGAGAAGCCACUAUUGAAACCUAUGGCCCCCGGGUCUAUUUUCCAUCAUAUUAAUCUUCCGUCAACAAGCUAUUUCUAUCUUUAUUUACCUUGCAAUCUUUACUUUUACUCUUUAUCAUAAAAAUACCAAAAAAAAUUAUCUUAUCAUCUCUAUCAGAUCUCACUCUCGUAAGUGACCGUGAAGGGAUUGACAACCCCUUUAUCGCGUUGGUUGCGAGGUUCUUAUAUAUUUGUGUAGGUGCGUGGGACUUGAGUGUGGCCUCCUACUGGAUUGAUACCUUGGUUCUCAAAAACUGAGGGAAAUAAUUACACUACUUUACUGCAUCACCCUUUCCUCUUUAAGGGAAAACCAACGCAGUGCUCAAGAGGUAGCAGUGUUCACCGCGCCGCCCGCCGUGCCCCUCGCCGCGCGCACGCCCACCACCGCGCCAGCCCCCGCUCAGCGCCCUCUCCUGCACGCUUGUGCGCGCAUGACCCUAGCCACGCCCGCGCCGUGAUCCCCUUGUUCGGCCCGCCUUCGUCCCGCGCUCGCCGCGGCCCCCAUGCUCCCCCGUGCCAUCUUCUAGGGGCGUCGGCUGCCCCUGUCCCGCUGCUCGCUGCCACGCCUCGCCCGCCCGCGCCUCGCCACCGCUCUACUGCUACGCUAAUAUUGCGCUGUGGCCGCCGCCGCUUCCCGCUGCUCUGCCAGCGCCGAAGCUCCCGGUUGGCUCCGCCGCUGCUCACGUUUUACCGCCCCUAAACGGCCUACCCCCCCCCUCGCUAAUGAACCCCCACUGACCCGCUGACACCGGGACCCACAUCCCCUAAUUAACCAUUUAAUAAAUUAAAAAUCUUAAAUUAACAUUAGUGUAUGACAUGUGGGUCCCCUAUUAAUUAAACUGAUUUAAUUAAAAUCUAUUAACAUUGAGUCUGUGACAUAUGGGCCCCACUAAACAUUUGACCAGUCAACGGUCUAGUCAAAUGCUGACCGGACAGUUGACCAGAGGGCCCCACCAGUCAGCCUCUGUGCUGUUCUGCUGGGUACCUUUCUAAGUACACCUAGCAUUUUGCAUUUACAAUAUUUGUUUUAAAAUAAAUUAGAAUAAUUUCAAAAAAAGAUUAAAACUUUUAAAAUUAAAAUAAAAUAAUCCGUAACUCGGAUGAAAUUACUUUAUACAUGCAAGUUGCUCAAAAAACGAGACGAAUCCGAAUACACAGUCCGUUCGUCUGCCACACGUCCCUAGCAUAGCAAACAUGCAACCAUCCCCCUCCGGUUCGACUGUCCGAAAAUGUCAGACACGGGAAAUACUUUUCCGGAUUUUCCCCUUCACCAUUAGCACCUAGUACCGCGUGAGGGCAUACCUAGCACCACUUAUUGUAAUGUCAUGCAUCGUCAUGCAUCUGUUUGCAUUGUAUUCAUUGUUUCUUCCUCCUCUUCUCUCCGGUAGACUACGAGACCGACGUCGGUGCUGCCCCGGUCGACUACGGUGUCCAUGACCCCUCCUUGUAAGCAGAGCUUCCAGGCAAGCAAACCCCCUUGAUCAUCCCGAUAUCGCCUACUCUUUCCCUCUACUGCUUGCAUUAGAGUAUUGUUACUGUUUGUCGGUUUGAUCCUAUACUGCUGCAUGGCUUGUCUUUGAUACUACUUAUGUGUUAUUUGUGUAGAUUUGUCAAGGAAAAAUGAGUCUAUAGCCUAAUAAAUGAAGUGUUGCAUGUUACCACACAUAUGUUAAUCCCCACUAUAGAGUUAGUAACAUAGACUAGUAACAUGUGCAUGUUACUACCCAUUGUGGCCAGUCUAUGUUACCACUUUCCUCUCUUUCUUCAUUUAUUGCUUGCCACAUCAUCUAUUUUAUCUAGGUAUGUGUGAUAUUACUACCUAUGUUACUCCCACUGUGGGUAGUCUAAGCAGGCUAUAAGGAAUAGAAUAAUAUAUAUGUGCUUAUUAGUUGGAGGAAAGAGAAGAGAAGCGGGCUCUUGGUUAGUAGAGCCAGCUACAACAUGAGACCCAAGCACUUUGUGAGGAUGUAAGGUGGCCAACUAUUGAUAAACUAGUACGUAUAUAAAAAUUAUUAUUGCACAUGGCCGCUAAGAGGUUGGCUGUAUAUGACAUGACAACUUCUUAUAGCCGACCCUUGGCUGUAUUAUUAACCAUGCUCUUAGUGAGGUAGCUAGUAUAUCAUAGACGACUAGCUAGUAUCAGACUAGCCAAAGUGGGAGUAACUUCAGCAGUAACAUCGACUCCAACUCAGAAAACUUGCUUAUGUGGGAGUAAACCGUGCCCAAUGCAAAAUACAAUCCCAGUCAUAAUUUUUUCAGGAAACGUGUGGUAUCCCAAACGAAAAGUACAUGUCACUCUUGCGGCAACGAUACCCAAUAAAUCACAAACGGUCUGCAGCACUUGUAUGUGUGCGAAGAGGCUCCUGAACCGUUUGUGAUAGAACAUUAUCGUAGACGAUAAUUGUUGGCAAACGUGUGCGAUGGAGUCUAGCAUGGCAGACAGGUUACGCAGAAAACUCGUGUGCGAUGGGGCACAAAUCGCACACAGUUCAUAUGUUGGCCCGUGUGCCUUACAUACUAUUUCCCAAACGGUUUGUUACGACAGACCGUAUGGUUUCAGUGCGUCAUUAGAAACGCUUAAUCACCGAUACCACACGUGCGAAAGAAUUUAGUGUGUGCUUCAUCGCACACGAUUACAUUUUGGAAGGCCUCUGGAUCACUGCUCCAUAUCCCCGACGGUUUCUGGGUCGUGUGGGAAGUACACCCUAUCGCACACACUCACUUGGCGACGGUUCCAAAUGCCAUCGCGGAAAGGGGUUGAAAACAGUUUGUUUAGAACCGACGCGUACCAUUGUCUAUCUAUCUAUCUACCUAUCUAUCUAUCUAUCUAUCCAUCCAUCUAUCUAUCUAUCCAUCUAUCUAUCCACCUAUCCAUCUAUCCAUCUAUCUAUCUCUAUCCAUCUAUCUAUCUAUCCAUCUAUCCAUCUAUCUAUCCAUCUAUUUAUCUAUCUAUCUAUCUAUCUAUCUAUCUAUGUAUCCAUCGAUCCAUCUAUCCAUCCAUCGAUCCAUCUAUCCAUCCAUCUAUCUAUCCAUGCAUCCAUGUAUCCAUCUAUCGAUCUAUCCAUCUAUCCAUAUAUCGAUCUAUCCAUCUAUCUAUCCAUCUAUCCAUCUAUCCAUCUAUCGAUCUUUCCAUCUAUCGAUCUAUCCAUCUCUUCAUCUACCCAUCUAUCCAUCUAUCCAUCUACCGAUCUAUCUAUCCAUCUAUCUACCUACCUAUCUAUCUAGCUAUCUAGCUAUCUAUCUAUCUAUCCAUCCAUCUGUCCAUCCAUCCAUCUAUCUACCUACCUACCUACCUACCUACCUACCUAUCUAUCUAUAUAUCUAUCUAUCUAUCUAUCUAUCUAUCUAUCUAAAGGAAAUAUGCCCUAGAUGCAAUAAUAAAGUUGUUAUUUAUAUUACUUAAACUAGCAGAGUCACCCGCGCAUUUGCGCGGCUAGAUUGACUACAUAUAUUGUUAUAUUUGGGAUUAUUUUUCUAUGCCAACUUUAUGGCCUCUUACUCAGAUAUUAUCUAAUUUAAUUUACCACCACCAUAUGUUAUAUCCAUAGAUUAUAAUUAAAAGGCAACUUGCGACGAAACAUGGUCAGAUUAUUGAGUGCUCAGAAGACGGGCGCAAUAUCAUAUAUAGACUUCUAUACCAAUCUUCAUGGUUCCCAUCUUUGAUCCUCUCCUCGUCCCUUGGUAUCUAUCUUUGCACCCAAUAUGUCUUUGGAGUUCCAAGAAUUGGAUCUUAGCAUGAAUGGCUUCAAAGUGUACCAAAUGUUCUCUUGUUCCUCCCAAAUUAAUUACUGGUUGCAUUCUUAGUUGCUUUGACAUUCUUGGUUAAUGCAAUGUCUUGCCUACCAAUAUAUGCAUCCACACACGAUCAUAUUUAUAUGACCACUUACCUCUGUAUUCUGGUAUUUGUGCUUCAGAAUUUUUCUCUCAUUCAGUUUAUUCAUAGAUUAGAAACGUCGAUCGUUUCUUUAUUGGUUUGCAUUAUCUUGUUUGCCGAAUGUAAGCAUCCACACAUGCUCGUCAUGAUAUGAUUGGUCAUCAUUGUAUAUUUGUAUUUGUGUGUUGAUAGCUUAAGGAUUUUCUCGGAUUCACUUCAUAGUUUAAGGAUUUUCUCGCGUUCAAUUUAUUCUACCUUAUUCAUUUUCAUGUUUCUUUAUUGUAUUCAUAUCCAUUCUUACAAUAUAUUUUCCAAGAUAUGAACUCAACUACUAAUUACGUAGUUUUCAAUGAAAUUUUACAUGUAAAAGUGGUACAAAUGCAUAAACCCAAUUUUUUUUUAAACACGUUGACUUACAAAAAGGACAAUUCAAGCUGCAUGUACGUCCGACUCAUGUUUACCUGACAAUGUCGAUGUUGAUUUCAGCAGUAAAUGAGCUGUGUGUGACCUUUGCGCUUUCCGGUAUUCUUCUAACCUGUGUGCUUUAUGAUCAGUUUGUUGUGCUUAGUACUGGACACUGGAGUAUACUAUCAUAUUUGAUACAAACAAAUCCGAACUGCUAUAGUUAUGAUCCACUGUAUAGUUAAUGGUGGUGGUAAUUAAUAUAUGUGGUUAAAUACUUGCGCUCCUUAGGUGGGGAGUUGGAUUUGUAUUUGUCUAAAAUGAAUUUCAGAUUUCGUAUCAGUGGUGAAGCCAGCCGGAAGAACCUCUGCGUCAUUAUUAAUUUUGGUGAUAUUUUUCAUCAUAGUGUAGAAUAAUUUUAGUGCUUAUUCCGCAAAAAAAUGGCCUCAACUGACCCCAUAGCUUGUAUGUUGCGCCACCACUGUUUCGUAUAUCUUAUUACAUCCGUUGUUUUUAGAUCUUGAUGCAUAACUUUGACAAUUUUUAAUAGAUAUGUGUCUGUAUAAAAAAAUUAUAAAUGCUAUGAUAAUUUGAUUAAUUAUGAUGAAUAAAAUGGUAUUGCUUUGACUUGAUCCCUCUAACAAUUUAUAGGAAUGCUCUUAAAUAUUUCUGCUUCAUUUGAUCUCAUUAUAGCCUGCCUAAAUUACAUGGCUUAAUCGCCUUUUUUCUUUUAUCUUAGUUCAUUUCCGUAAAUUCAUUUGUACUAUAUAUGCUCCCGUAAAUUCAUUUUUUUAAUUGCUCACAUUUUUUUGAGGCAUUUUGAGUUUCUCACGUACGCUCAAACGCCCAAGAAAACACAUAUAGUGUUCGCUACGCCCAAGAAAACACAUUGAGGCAGUAAUUUCUUCAGGCAAGAUCGAUCGGCAGCUAAUUAAGUAGGCUGGAUGGCAUUGAGAAAUCCAAAAACGAUUUACAUACACAUGGUAGAUCGUCUCUCUCUCUCCUUCCACCCCUUCCUUUCAUGGCCAUCGUAGACUGCACCAUGUGGCAUUCAAACUUUUAUCAAGGGGAGAGUUUCCUCACACACACACACACACAUGCACAUACGCAAGCACACGCACACACGUGUAGUACAAACUUAGAAUUUUUGGAAAUAAUGGGAGGCCGAGCAACGGCCAUGUGAAAAUAUGAGGUAUAUAGCUUGUGGAUUUCCUUUCAGUGUACAAGGCCUGCAUGAGGAAUGGAUAAAAAAUUAUAUCUUUGAUUCCCUUAGUUAAAUCUUAUCCUUCAUCGUCAAUUAUGACUAAGCAUACAUAGUAACCGCUAGUUUCUCUUAUAUGCUUCCGAGAAGAUAAGACUGGAUAUUUUAGUUGCUAUUAAUUGUUUCCCUUCUUUCGCUAAAUAGUAGUCAAACAUGUUAUUAAUGUAUUUUGUAAGGAUAAGGUCGAGCAUCAUGGCCACUAUGUUCUAUAUAUACUGAAUUUGGUGUUCAGUAUGACAUAACAAACACAUAUUGUGAGAAGGAGUAGUGUACAUUGUUCUCUAGUGCACUUUGUUCAGCAAGUUGGGUGAAAAUGUUGAAUAGAACCAUCAAGUUUUCAUACUUUUUUUCAUGGCACAGGUUUGCCUUCUCAUGAUGAUGGCCGCACCGUUUGCACAAGCUGCUGGGAGGCCUGUGGCCUCCUUACCAUGGGUAGCGGGGUGUUGCCCGAGGAACUAUUUGUGUUGUGGUGUUGGUGCCGUUGCCCCGACAUCCCAUGCAUCACAGGCCACCUCUGUACCUUGAGUUAUGGUUUCGCCUGAUCUCCUCUCAUAACAUAGUUGAUAUAACAUAGUAGCAUCACAAAGGUUGCAUGGUUUCAUUGAUUCAUCUCUUUUCUACUCCUUGAAACUUGUGAUGCCACUUUUGAACAAUGUCAUUGCUAUGUCUUCUUAUAACUAAUAAAAUGGGAGGAUAUUUUCAUCUUAUUUGAAUUGUGUUGUAACAUUACCUACUAAUGUGGAUGAUCUGAGUGGGACUACAUAGAUCGGAUCUUCUAAAGAUGUAAUCUAGGACUUUGCGAGAUGAUGAAAUUGUCCUUUAUCUUGGUCGACACCUUUUCGUAGAAGUGUUGGUCGGCCGUCUGUGUCUUUUUGCGGUGCAUGCCGUAGAAUCCUCCAUGUUUUGUAGUUGUACAAUAACCUUUGAGGCAACCGGGGGUGGUACGUCUGAGGAAGUCGGUGGCCCAGGAAUAUUCAUAAUAAGAUCUUGACCAUGGAUGCCAAGUAAUUUGCCCCGUGCUGAUGUCGUCGGGCUGACCCGCUCACUUAUGUUUUGACUCAAGGAGUCGCUAUGUUCACCGAGUCGCGAGACAGCGGGAGGAAGGAGACGAAGGUCCCAAACGUCAGACCAAAAAGGUGGACUAGGGCUCGCCCUAGUUGUGCUCUCGGGUAUUUUCAGUUACUAGUAGGAGUAAGAAGCAUUGCAAAUUGCUCCCUCUGUUCAAUCCGUAUAUAUGUAGUCCAUAUUCAUAUAUUCAAAAUAUUUUAUAUUUGUGAACGAAGGAAGUAAUUAAUUGUAAUGCAACAAUUUCAGGGGAGGCCAGUCAACAGCUAACUAAAUGUGCUGGAUGAGACUGGAGAAAUGUAUAAACGAUUUACACAUGAUAGAACUACUCUUUUCUUGUUAAGAAAUGGAAGAAUGGAUGAUUUUAUCCGUUCGGAACAAAACCCAAUAUUCAUCCAGUUAGACGUUGUUCUGAAUUGUGACGCUUUUGAAAGUUUUCUCGCAGAAAUAUGUGUGUAUUCCAGUUGUAUCAUUAGCAAACCAAGGUUGUAUAUAUUAUAGCACAAAGAAUGUUUGGUUGAUUCGUUCAGGCGAAUCGGGUUUGUUGCUGACUGCCAAAGUCAGGCCAACUCCAGCGCACGACCCCAAACGGACAUCUGUUUUGCCUGGAUUCUGCCCGUUUGGAUAGGGCAAUGGGGUCGUGUCCGGGCCUGUCCUGUGAUGCGGUGGCCGUGCGCACAACGUGCGGACGCAUCCUUUGGCCUCAUCAUGUCCGCCACGGCCAAAAAUGCCCAUAUAUUCAUAUUUCAAUGUUCAAAACUAGUUUGCACGUUCAAAUAUUAAUUGUCUGAAAAUAAAAAUAGUUAUUACAACCCAAUCAAAAUUGUCUCUAAUAAAAUAGUUUUACAACCAAAUCGAAAUUGUCUUGAAUGAACAUAAUGAACCAAUACAUCUAUUGGUUGCCAAUGUGAUUCCACAUGUGCUCAACCAAGUCAUUUUGAAGAUCCAAAUGAGUGUGCCAAUCAUGCAUUUCACGAUGAAAUUGGGCAAACUUCUCAAACGUGGCCGGUUCUUGGUGCAGGGGCUGAACAUUUUCACCUUGAAAAUCAAAUCCUUGGUCGAAGAUGCUGUUAUCAUGCUCGUCCUCGAUGAUUAUGUUGUGCAUGAUCACACAAGCAGUCAUCACCUCCCGAAGCUUCCCUUCAUCCCAUGUCAAUGCAGGGUUUCAAACGAUACCCCAUCGGGAUUGAAGCAAACCAAAAGCACGUUCCACAUCCUUCCUAGCACUCUCUUGCAUUUGGGCAAAUCUCUUUCUCUUCUCACCUUGGGGGUUCGAGAUUGUCUUCACAAAAAGUUGACCACUGAGGAUAUAUACCAUCAGCUAGGUAGUAUCCCUUGUUAUACUGGUGGCCGUUGAUCUCAAAGUUGCCAGGUGGGGAGUGGCCUUCUGCAAGCCUUGCGAAGACUGGAGAACGCGGCAGCACGUUGAUAUCAUUGUGAGAACCUGCCAUGUCGAAGAAAGAAUGCCAUAUCCAAAGAUCUUGCGAAGCCACCGCUUCUAAUAUGAUAGUGCAAGCUUUAACAUGCCCCUUGUACUGGCCCUGCCAAGAAAAUGGACAGUUCUUCCACUCCCAGUGCAUACAAUCUAUGCUACCAAUCAUGCCUGGAAAGCCUCUAGCUGCGUUGGUCGCCAACAAGCUUUCUGUAUCAGUGGCAUUUGGCUGCUGAGGGAGUCCUGGAUUAAGGGGUCCUCGGGCGUCUGGGCUAUGUAACAUGGGCUGGACUAAUGGGCCGCGAAGAUACAAGAUGGAAGGCUUUCCCCCCAUGUCCGGAUGGGACUCUCCUUGGCGUGGAAGGCAAGCUUGGCAUGCGGAUAUUAAAGAUUCCCUUCCCUGUAAACCGAGUCUGUACAACCCUAGCCCCCUCCGAUGUCUAUAUAAACCGGAGGGUUUAGUCCGUAGAGGCAAGGAUAAUCAUACAGGCUAGAUAUCUAGGGUUUAGCCAUUACGAUCUCGAGGUAGAUCAACUCUUGUAAUCCCUAUACUCAUCAAAGUCAAUCAAGCAGGAAGUAGGGUAUUACCUCCAUUAAGAGGGCCCGAACCUGGGUAAACAUCGUGUCCCCUGCCUCCUGUUACCCUCUAUCCUUAGACGCACAGUUCGGGCCCCCCUAUCCGAGAUCCGCCGGUUUUGACACCGACAGCUGCCUCAAGUACUCAGGGCCAAACACUGCCACCACAGCCUUGUAGAAUUUGUAAAGUGACAACAGACAUGUCGACUCACUCAUGCGCACGUACUCAUCCACCAGAUCGCCUGGAAUUCCAUAUGCAAGCAUGCCGAUGGCCGCGGUGCACUUCUGGUAAGAGGAGAAUCCAAGCUUGCCAAGGGCAUCCGUCUUGCACUCGAAGUAUGGGUCAUGAGCAACCACUCCCUCUCGGAUACGAUUGAACAGAUGCCUUGCCAUACGAAAACGGCGACGGAAUUUAUUCGGCUUGAAGAGCGAGGUAUUCGCAAAGUAAUUGGCAUAGAGCAAGGCGUGGCCUCUCUCUCUAUUGCGUUUCAGGUUGGGAGCACGGCCAGGGACUGACCCCAUGUACCGAGGAAGCUGCCCAAUGUGAUCGUGAACGACCAGUGCAACCACCACCAGAUCUUCGUCAUCCGAGGACGAAUCAUCCGAUGAAUAAAUGAAGUGGUGGAAGAAAAAUUCAUCUCCACUGUCCAUACCUUUGUGGGCAAAGUGUCCAACACCUUGCGGUCGUGGUGGCAAAUAGGCCGCGAUGAUCAUCUCGAUGCAGCAGGGGUGGUUGGCGGCCGGCUACUGGCCGCUAUGGAGCACCUGGCGAAAGCUGCCGUGGUCCAUAUCCGUCGCCGGUGGUCGUAUCCCCUCUGGCACCGGCUACAACGACGACGGCCAAAUCUCCUCCAAGCGAUGGCCAGAACUCCUACGAAAGCGCGGGCUUGGUGGCGGCCGUGUCGAGACGUGGUUUGGUAUGGAUGGCCGGGGGGAAGCAGUGAGGAGGCGGUCGGAGAAUACUGGGGGCGCCGGUGGCGGGGUGGGGCGGAGGAGAGCGGGUGGAGGCGUUGGAGGCGAAUGGAGUGCUAGUGUCCCCAACAGGCGGGCCGCGGGGAGGACAAGGGCGUGUGUCCAGCCCGUCCGUGUGAUGUCCGUUUCAUCCCAAACUCGGCACAAGUUUGGGCCAGGAAUGGGUAAAAAACGGACGAAAUCCGGACAUUUGUCUAUUUGAGGCCGUGCCUUGGGUCGCGCUAUUCGUGUAUUCUACCCUAAACGGACGCACCAGAACGGAAUGGGGUCGCGUGCUGGAGUUGGCCUCACGACCGUUUCUGCCUUUGGCGCAGACAAGAGAUUCUACACUGUAAAGGAAAAAGCUGAAAGCUCGCUUGUCUCGUGUGUUUCUCUUCUCUUGCACCUUGUCGGAAAACAGCGUGCACCAGGGACGCUCGAUUCCAUGGCAGGCAUCAAUUCAAUCGAUCAUGCUACAGGGAACCGGCACUAUUUUCUUUUUCUUUUUCUUUUUCUUUUAGGUCGUGAACGCAAGUCAUUUGAGACAUUCACAUAGGACUUACAUAAUUGGUAGAUUUAUUAGCAUCAGUGUGGAGCUAAAGUGUUUGAUGUUUUGUAUGAAUGGUUUGGUCUUAACAAUCAAGCCGACCACUCAGGACCUACUUUUGGACUUUUUUUUUGUAUUAUUGUAUACUAGCAAAAGGGCCCGUGCGCGGAGAAAAAAAUUAUAAUCUUGAAUGACCAUGAUCACAUUUUUUUGCAUCACCGAGAUACACUAUCACUUUCAAUUUCGGGAAAUCAUGUACAUUUUUUAAACUUGUGAACAUUUUUCAAAUUCUUGAACACUUUUACAAAUCUGCAAACAUAUUCUAAAAUCAAGAACAUAUUUUGAAUUCAUGAACAUUUUAUAGUAUUUACAAACAUUUUUAGAAAUUACGAAUUCUUUUUAACAACUUUCUUGAAUAGGCAAACAAUUCUAAAAUGGACGAACAUUGUUUUAUAAAUCGGUGGAACAAUUUUUGAAAUUCACGAACAUUUUUUUGAUUUUACAAACAUUUUUUGAAAUGCAUGAUCAUUUUUGUAUAAACUAUUUUGUAUGUCACGAACAGAUUUUCAAAUAUUUGGUUAUUUCCCCAUUCAUGAACAUUUUUUGAAUGGUGAUAUUUUCUUCAAUUUCAUUAACAUUUUUUAUACACCAAUUUUUAAAAAGUCAUGGACGUAUUUUGAUUUCAUGAACAUUUGUUUUCAAAAUUUCGAACAUUUUUCGAGUCAGAUUCUUUAAUAAAAUUGCAAAUAUUUUUUGAAUACAUAAACAUUUUAUGAUUUAUUAAAACUUUAUUUGAAAAUUAUUUUUAAAUUUCAAAUAUUUUGUGUAUUCCGAAUUUAGUUAAAGCAGAAAAAACGGAAAAGGAUAAAAAAGGAAAUGUUAAAAACAGGCCGCCCGGACAUGGGCGGCCCAAACAGGCGGGCCGCGCCUUAUCCCUACGCGCAGAGCCCAGUAUGGGAGGUCGCUACUACAUGGCCCAGUCCAGACGUGGAUUCCCUGUGUGAAACAUUUAUAUCACUUAUACAUGACAUUUGUGGGUAAUUUGUACGACGUGCCAUAAGAAGAAAUAGCCCCUUUAUUAUUACUAGCAAAAGUGUCCGUGUGUUGUAAUGGGAGAAAUAAAAUCAAAAUCUCCAAUGACCAUGACCAUAUUUUGUUGCAUCACCCAGACACCCUAUCACUCUCAAUUUCAUGAAAUCAUGAAUAAUUUUUGAAAUCACGAACAUGUUUUAAAAUUAUUACUCAUAUUUGAAAUUGUGAACAUUUUUCAAAUUCAUGAACACUUAUACAAAUUUUCGAACAUUUUCUAAAAUCCAGAACAUUUUUGGAAUUGAUGAACAUUUUAUACUAUUUGCAAACACUUUUUAAAGAUUCUGAACAUCUUUAUAAACAAUUUUCUUUAAUCGAGGAACAUUUGUAUGGAAAUUGACGGAACAAUUGUCGAAAUUCACAAACAUUUUUUGAUUGAACUAACAUUUUUUGAAAUACAUGAUCAUUUUUUGAAUCAGUAGACAUUUUCUGAAUGACUAAACUAUGUUGUAAGUCACGAAAUAGUUUUUGAAUUUUAGGAUAUUUCUCCAUUCAUGAACACUUUUUGAAUUGGCUAUUUUUUUCAAUUUCAUUAACAAUUUUUGAUACAAAAACUUUUUAAAAAUCAUGAAUUUUAUUUGAUUUCCCAAAAAAUUGUGUUUAAAGUUUUGAACAUUUAUUGUGUAAGCAAUUGUUUUUUACAAAACAGCGACCAUAUUUUGAAUCCACAAACAUUUUAUGAUUUAUGAAAAUUUUAUGUCAAAAUACUCAUUUUUUAAAUUUUCUAAACUUUUUUGAAAUCCUAAACUAUUUAUAGUAAAAAGAACGAAAACAGGAAAGAAAAAUGAAAAUAGAAAACGAAAUCAAAGAAACAGGCCAGCCUGAAAUGGGCCGGCCCAAACAUGCGUGUAGCGUCUUCUCCCAGCGUGCCGAGAACAUUAUAGGAGGUCCCUACUGUAGAGCCGGCCCAGAUGGGGGAAUUCCCUUGUGUGAAUUUUUUGUAUCACUUAUAUGUGGCAUUGAACUCAUGAAGCAUGCGCUAUCCCUUCCAGCUCGCCGCCAUGUCUGGCUCGGACAACCAGAUGGACUUUCUUUCGUCCCUGUAAACGUUUUGAUGAUAUAAUAAAAAGCUUCGGAAUUUGUCUAAAAAAACUUAUAAGUGGCAUUGGUGGGUAAUAUUUUGCAACUUUAGAGGUAAUUCCAUGACGUACCACCAGAAGCACAAUAGCCCCUUUACUAUUAUUAGGUACUCUUUUUUCCUUGUGGAGCUUUGGAAAUGAGAGAAUUUGAAUAUAGUAACUCUCGGAAACUCUUAUUGGACGAGAGAGAUUUAAUAUGAUAUUGGCAUGGGUUCUACCAACUAAACGAAGAAGUAUUUGACUGAAUAAACAGACAAUUUCCUUUAAUCGACGAACAUUUUUAUGAAAAUUGGUGGAAUAACUUUUGAAAUUCAUAAAUAUUUUUUGAGUUAACGAACAUUUUUUGAAAUACAUGACCAUUUUUUUGAAUCUGUGAACGUUGUAUGAAUGAAUAAACUAGUUUGUAAGUCAUGAGCAGUUUUUCAAUUUUUAGGAUAUUUUUCCCUUCAUGAACAUUUUUUCAAUUGGUGAAAUUUUGUUCAAUUUCAUUAACAAUUUUUAGUGCAUAAAACUUUUUAAAAUCAUGAACAUUAUUAUUUACCAAAGAAGCAAAUUGUUUUUUGCAAAAUCAUGGACAUUUUUUGAACCCACAAACAUUUUAUUAUUUAUGAAACAUUUUUUUAAUACACAAUUUUUUUAAUUUUCGAAUUUUUGUGAAAUACUAAAUUAUUUAAAGUAGAAAAAUCAAAAACAGAAAAGAGAAAGGAAUAAUAGAAAAGGAAGUUAAAUAAUAGGCCGACCGAACAUGGGCUGGCCCAAACGGGCGCACUGCAUCUUCUNNNNNNNNNNNNNNNNNNNNNNNNNNNNNNNNNNNNNNNNNNNNNNNNNNNNNNNNNNNNNNNNNNNNNNNNNNNNNNNNNNNNNNNNNNNNNNNNNNNNNNNNNNNNNNNNNNNNNNNNNNNNNNNNNNNNNNNNNNNNNNNNNNNNNNNNNNNNNNNNNNNNNNNNNNNNNNNNNNNNNNNNNNNNNNNNNNNNNNNNNNNNNNNNNNNNNNNNNNNNNNNNNNNNNNNNNNNNNNNNNNNNNNNNNNNNNNNNNNNNNNGUAUUAUUAUUGUUUCAAAUUUAUUCAUAUAUUAUUUUCAAUUGUACAACCAUAAUUUUUCUUAUCUCUCUCGUUCCACUACAUGCUCCUAGUCAAAGAUUUUUUUUAAUAAUGGGUGUUUUUAUUAACUCAAAAUAUAGCAUCAAGCGGAUACAAAACAUAAUGAGCCACACCCGGUCUAUGCAUAACUAAGAUGCACACAGCCAAAAGCAGAAGUCUGACAAAAAUAAGAUAAGAAAAUCGACAUAUCGACAACAGUGAGUCAUGUAGUACCGACACUAUGCCUCUGUCGAAGGAGGUGGUGGAGCGAUCUGGAGAUUAUGCUGCCAUCCAUGUUGAGUAAAUAUCUCCCUGGCCACUUGCUCCAACCGCAUAGACGCCGCCAUGAACAACGGUUGGUACUCCAUUCGGUGUAGCAUACACCAUACUAGAGGCUGGGGCGCCACCUGAGGCGGGCCUAUGCGCACUUAUUUUGUCUGGGCACUUCGGUUGUCAUGUUUGGUCAUCAGUAUCACUUAUGUACAUCAAUAUGGGCGUAUGCUGUAUUGUUUGAGUUCAUUAGGAUCUAUUAGUAUCACAUCAAUCAAAGUACAUAUACUAUGUUAUUUGAGUUCAGAACCAUCAUAGGCAAUGAUACGUCUAAUAAGGAUAUAUAACAUUUAAUUCAAAAGGAAAGACAAAGUAGAAUUAAGUGCUUUAGUUUGGCCGAAGAAAGGAACCUCAUGAUGCCAUGACUAAGGAACCAAAUAUAAAAGAGCACCUUUCAGAGUACUCCAGAGGUAUGACAUCAUCCAUUUCCACAUCAGAAUCAUCGGAAUUCUCCUGAUCUUCAUUUCGAUGUACCCAACACAAAUGCUACAUGGAUUUUAGUCAGCUGCACUCCCCACUACUUCUACACUUCCCCUUUUUCACACCGACGAGCAGAGACUGAUGCAAGUUGAUCGAACACAGAACAACAUAUAAUUUCCUAGAGAUGCGCUGGGCCUGAAAGGCAACAUACCUAGCAUGCGCAUAAAAUGUGAGAGUAACAAUAAAAGAACAUACCAUUUACCGAUAUGAUUAUUAUUGCUUGCCAAAAUGAUACGUUUUGAUUACUAUUGCAUGCCAAUAUUCUUAAUCACUCCAAGCAAAUUUAACCUAAACUAAAUAUCUAAGAGUAAGCUCUGGUUUAUGUAUUUUACAGAAGUUUGGUUCAGCGAAACUUCGGAAGCAAAUGUGUGAAGGUUUUAUCAUUCUAAUUAAAGGCCUUUUGAUUGUGCAAAACUUACACUACCACAUGAGUUACUGACCAACAUGAGAUGCAAAGUAACAACAGCAUGAUAAUUUUUUUUGAAGGCAGUCAUAUUCUAAAGCAUUAAAAGAUGAAUUCCAAUGCUUUGAUUCUGUAAAGAAUUAGAUCGAUCACUCAACAGUUCUAUUGGCGCCACUAAAAUUCUGAGUGCAAUGUUGUGUAUGUAGCUAAAAUUCACCCAUCAAAGACAACCUUAAUAAUAAGCAAUGGUCAAAACAAGCAAUUGUUGAAGUUAAAUGUAAUUAGAUAGGAAGUCACAUUUGAUUCAUGACCAUCGAGCUGAAAAUGAGACCGAUAAAAGCUGAUUCACCAUGAAGAGAAACAACUAAUGUGAACCUCGGGUUGUAAAACAAAUAGGAUGAGUCGUGUGCUGAUUGCAAAAAAUUGUACUUCUAACCAAAUGACCAUGCUUCAUGAAUAGAUGACAAUAUAGUAACACGAAAGUGAAGUACGGUGAAAUUUUGUAAGCUACUAAGGGCAUAGGGCAAAGCUCACACUCCAGCUUGCACUCCUUGAAGAAAUCAACCAAAAGCACCCAGAAAGAUAAAUGGCAUUGUGGCAUCCGAUGAAUGUUGAUAACUGUACCAUCACACUAAUUUAAUCUACAAAAUUCAUGUCAACAUCACUAAUCAUGAUGUAUCAGGUUAGGAUAAAAUCAUUGUUUUUUCCCAAAAUAAAAUAAAACAAGCCCAGUUAGAAAGAAAUCAUAAGCCUAUCAGACAAUCAGGCAAUUCUGUUAGCAUGUCAACAAUCAGACAGAACAAAACCUAUAGUCCUCAUUUUUUUCUUUCUAAAAAAAGUGUAAUGCUAGAAAAGAGAGUUAAAUAAAAUGCUACGUGAAUCAGCAUACAGAAAAUUCAUAGAAGCAAUGAAGAAAAUAUGAACAAAAUUUAUGUCGAAACACCUAUACUUUCCCCACGAGCAAAUAUGUGUAAUGUUAGAAAAGGGAGUUAAAUAAAAUGUUAGGCAAAUCCGCAUCCAGAAAAUUCAUAGAAGCAAUGAAGCAAAGAUGAGCGACAAAUUUAAUCUACACACACACACACACACACACAUUCAGGCAAACAAAUUACUUCGAUUGAAUCCAUUCCUUUGCAUAUAUGGCAUAAAUGCAUCUAAGGAAAAAAAAACUUGAUGGUGUUAGUUUACCUUGCCAAGAUCAUGAAAUCCAUCUAAAUGAAUAAGAAGCUCCAACAGUGUCCGCUGGAUCUCAUGGUCGUCAUUGGUUCCCUCACUAAAUCUUCUCGCAUCAAUUGCAUCGAUUUCAUCCAUGAAGAUAAUGCAUGGCUAGAAAUAACAACUUGAUGAAAAUGAAACAAAAUUUGCAAGCACCGUAAAUAAACUAAAUGGUGAUAUAAGCUAAAAUGAUCUCAGAAGUGCACUUUUACAUAUAUAGAGAUCAGUUUGAUUUCUUCUUCUCAGGAAAAACUGAUACUGAAAUCUAAAGCUUAAAGUUUUUCUAGUGUUGAACCAGAAUACAAUUAGAUGACAUGACAUCUGAGUCAAGGGAACUAUCAAAGUCACAGCUUGAAUCUCAACACCAGUAGAUGCAUAACCAUCUGCCAACAUACGUUUCUAACAGAUAAUAAGGGAAUUAGGUUUAAGACCAAUUGGCUUUGCAAAAAAGAAAGGCGGAGCAAAACUUACUUGGCGAUCGCGUGCAUAGCCGACCAUUUCUCUGAUUAAAAGCGCACUUUCCCCGAUAUAUUUGUCAAUUAUAGCACUUGACACAAUCUGGUUUUUAGACAACACGUCAGUGUAAUGUAAUACUCACAGAAUGAAAAUACCAACCACCAUCAAUCAAGUGAAAACCACAGCUCCAAAAAGUUAGCAUGAAUGUUACUGGAUAUAGCCCUUGAUAGUAAUGGCUUCCCUGUAGAGUAGAACGCACUUGAAAAAGUUAAAGAAACAUACACUGGCUCCCAUAUAUUGAUCUUGUAUUUGACAAGUGGCCGGGCAUCAACAUUGUGCCUGCUGGUGUACCAAUUCAGCUUGUAGCUGCCAGCUAAUCUCCUUCUGAACAGUUAUGCUGUCCUCACUCACGUGCUACGCCUAUUCAAACUUGCUUAAUUUAAUUUGUUACUACUAUGUUAAUGCUGACAUAUUAACUGGCAGACCUCAUGUACUAACAGUAAAUCCCAGCAUACUUUCUUAAUUUGCUACUAUCCGGAUUUAUUCUUUUAGCGAGAGGUCAGGUAUCACUUGGAACAACUGAGUUUCUUUUUAAUCUUUGUGGACACUACACUUGAACGCCACAACCACCUGGAUAUGUCAGGCAGGACGGGCAGCAGCGCAUCAUCAGUAAGUUUAUUUAAGAGAGUAAAAUUCAGUCGCAAUCAGUCAAUCUCAAUCAGGUUCAGAUUUGGACGCGACCUUGAAUAACGAAGCCCCAACUGGGAAGAACAAGGUUGCAAGAACAAGCAGAUUGACGAUGGGUUCAUGGAAGCUUACCAGGCAGGCAGUCCGCCCGGCGGCUUGAGCAAGCUGCUGCUGGUACCCUACGCGCAGUCGCAGUCCGCACCGGCCAGGGCACACGAGCACUGACGCGCGUGCCGCCUGCCGCUUCACCAUGCCCACGUUGUAGUCGCCACCGAUUCACGGCAGGGCAGAGGGGCCUCGACCUCGUCCUCCUCCACAUCAUCAUCGGCGAUGCCCUUCCCCUCCUGACCCCAACACCAUCAUGCCCCCGCCGACUCAUCUCCCUACAGCGACGGCGACUCCGGAGGCUCCGAGACCUGGGACACCGACAUGAGUGGCUCGUCGGCAUCGGAUCUCCUCCACCCNNNNNNNNNNNNNNNNNNNNNNNNNNNNNNNNNNNNNNNNNNNNNNNNNNNNNNNNNNNNNNNNNNNNNNNNNNNNNNNNNNNNNNNNNNNNNNNNNNNNNNNNNNNNNNNNNNNNNNNNNNNNNNNNNNNNNNNNNNNNNNNNNNNNNNNNNNNNNNNNNNNNNNNNNNNNNNNNNNNNNNNNNNNNNNNNNNNNNNNNNNNNNNNNNNNNNNNNNNNNNNNNNNNNNNNNNNNNNNNNNNNNNNNNNNNNNNNNNNNNNNNNNNNNNNNNNNNNNNNNNNNNNNNNNNNNNNNNNNNNNNNNNNNNNNNNNNNNNNNNNNNNNNNNNNNNNNNNNNNNNNNNNNNNNNNNNNNNNNNNNNNNNNNNNNNNNNNNNNNNNNNNNNNNNNNNNNNNNNNNNNNNNNNNNNNNNNNNNNNNNNNNNNNNNNNNNNNNNNNNNNNNNNNNNNNNNNNNNNNNNNNNNNNNNNNNNNNNNNNNNNNNNNNNNNNNNNNNNNNNNNNNNNNNNNNNNNNNNNNNNNNNNNNNNNNNNNNNNNNNGGAGGCUCGAGCUUGGGAAGGGGGGAGGGGAACGAAGGGGUGGGGCUCCAGGCAAUCCUCACCUCCAAAGACAACUUGACCGGCAACACGGGCAGGCUAGACCUCUUCUAUGGCGAGGCCAACUUCGGCGAGGGGACGAGGUGGUGCGGGACCUUGGAGAUAUCUCCCCCGCGCGUGGAGCUUGUCCGGCGACGCCGCUGAAGAUGCCACUGCCACGACCAGCUCGAUCCUCCUUCGCUGGACUCCGAUCUGGACGAGGACUGAGCUAGGAGGAGGGAAGCGGGAGAGGAGAAGGCGCAGGAGAAGCGGCUGAGCCGGCGGCGCAGGGACCAGGGAGAGAAGAAGGCGAACGAAGAGGGGAUUGACAGAGUGGCGAAGAAGCAUGCGGGCUAGGUUUCCUUUUCUUUUUCUCCCAGCACUGCACAGUUGCUUGUCUCGUAGCUUGCCGGCAUGGCUAUGGCGAGGGCUCGCCCUUGAUGCGUAGGUUAAUGUAUUCGACUAGCGGGGCGCCUCUUGAGAGGAAGCUGAGCGGUGCUAGGUGGGACGCGCCCCUUUCCCUUUCCUGCAUAUACUAUGUAAUGUUAUUGCAUCAGAUUUAAAGUAACAUGCUCAGCUAAGUGCAAAGUGUGAUGAAUAAGUGAAACAGAAGGAAGCUGGUACAUUGGUGUAUGCCAAAAACUGAAUAUUAUAACAUAAACACAUGAAGUCAUCGACGUCUAUGGUAUGAAAUGCACAUGCACAAAAUUAGAGUGCACAUGAAGACAGAGCACUAUAGUGUCCUGAGUUGCAAGUCUCUAAGCACUGAAAUGAUCUGCAAUCAUAUGUACAAAGUAACCGAAUAAGAACAAGAAAUUUAGAGUAAAUGAGCUGUAAAAUUGUAAGUAAUGAGCAUUGGAAUUAAGGCAGAGUCAGUGACAGUUGGGUGCACUUGACAGGAAAAUCGGCGAGGCAUAAUAUGAAAUUAGAGUAAAUGAGUGCGUGCACUUCUCUUGGUGGCACCUAAAUGAAAAAAGAAACUAUUCACCUCUCGAUAUAUUCCCUAAGACCAUAUAAAAUCAGGAAGGUACUGAAGAGAGAUGCUCAAAUUCGAAGUUGCCAUGUCUAGGAAUGCUUGAAGCUUCAAAGAUUUCCUAUAAUACAGCAUGCCUCUAACUAUUCACAAUAAGAAAAACAUGUAAAUGCGGAAUCAACCAAAUGAUGGUAAAUUGUAGUUGAUUUUGGCCAAGCAAACGUCAGAUGAAAGAAACAUACAUGAGUGAACAUCACGAUUGGAUGUUUUAUUCAAAUUUAACAGGUUAAACUCACCAAAUACAUCUGGAUAUUUAGUGUUAAACUUCAACAGAUGGUCAGUUGUAGCUAGAUUCACACCACUGAAGCAAAAUUCCAUCUGCCACGGUUACAUCACACCAUCUUUUCAUCGUUACUAUUUAAAUUCCAAAAGCCUGCAACUCAUUUUUUUUGUUACGAUGUAUGCAUGAUUUUUAACUCAAGAGGAAGAGGGGAAACUAAAUCCAAGAAAAGAACACCAAGGAAGCAUCCAAAAUAGAGAAAGGAAAAAUCCAAAAUAGAGGCAGAAUCGAAGGGAAGAAACCCCAUAAAAAAUAGGAGAUCAAACGGUGAAAAAAAUCUAAGAGUCAAACAAUUCCAGGUAAGACCAAAUCGACGGCAAAAUAGCACAAGAGGGACUCACAUUAACAGGUAUACCAAUUCAGAAAGAAGUGUAAAGCAAACAGUGCAAUGGACCACUAGUAUAAAUUGGAUGUACACAAACAUGGGACUUAAACAGGAACUGCGAGAUGCAGGGUUCACGUGCAAACCCAAAAAACGGAAAACUGAAACCCACAACAAGAUUUUAUCUUCAUAUAUAUAUAUAUAUAUAUAUAUAUAUAUAUAUAUAUAUAUAUAUAUAUAUAUAUAUAUAUAUAUAUAUAUAUAUAUAUAUAUNNNNNNNNNNNNNNNNNNNNNNNNNNNNNNNNNNNNNNNNNNNNNNNNNNNNNNNNNNNNNNNNNNNNNNNNNNNNNNNNNNNNNNNNNNNNNNNNNNNNNNNNNNNNNNNNNNNNNNNNNNNNNNNNNNNNNNNNNNNNNNNNNNNNNNNNNNNNNNNNNNNNNNNNNNNNNNNNNNNNNNNNNNNNNNNNNNNNNCCUAUCUAUUAGUUGCUUCUUCCGAAUCCCCACCUAUCAAGCGUUUUCUUUGAAUAAACAAACACAAUAGUAUUCUCUGAAUUAUACUGUACAGUGAUAAUUAACCAAGCGACUGGAAUUAACAAUAUUAUGAGCUAUUGGCUUUUUAGUCAGGUAAAUAUCAUUCUUAAGACUACGGAAAACAGCAGGCGGCGAAGAAAACAUCUAUUGAUGAGAACUAUACACAUACUUAAGAAGGAAGUGACAUCUAUGGUAGCAGAACAUAUAUCAAGCUGUUGCAGCUACAUUAGCAGUUUAGCACAGUCCCUCCAUAAUACACAGGCUAGUGUAAUUUCACAAAUACAAUAAGCUAACAAUAUAUAUUUGGUAGAUGGAAAUGGCUGGAUCAUGACCAAUAUACGAUUACACAUCCGAUGAUGCAAAUAAAGAAACGAGGCCCAACAAUAGUGGAAAAUAAACCACAAUAGAACAUGUAUUUGGCGAAACCUCCAUACUGCAAUAUCAAACAUGAAUUGAAAUUAACAAUCUAGCAAAAAAACAUGACAGAUGCAGUCUUGGUCAUUUUUUCUUUUGUGACAUCCCCUAAAAAAAGUAAAAAGAAUGUUGUUCGUAUUUUACCAGAGAUACACUGAGCUGGGACAAAUCGGUCUGAAAUAAAAUAUGAUGGCUUCGGAGGAUUCGGAAGGCAAGAAAUUUGCUUUCUUCCAACAUAUAUGGUCUGCUGAACUAAACUUUGUUUCAGCGAGCUUUGGCAAAAAUCUGUAACUGCAAACAUCAAACUUGUGUGCCCUUCCUACAUCAAACUUUAAACCUGACGGAUUAAAUAUUUUAGGUUAGGCUGAGAUCAGUGUACUUUAUGAGUGUUAAGUGUACUUUCUAAAUAGCAGAGAAACCAUAACAUCUAAGCACAACCCAGCAACUUGUACAAGCUAACAUCAAAUCUGAAAGAGGAAAUGUCGAGAACAGGUGAAGGUACCAUGAUCCAUGACUGAGCAAAGUUAUCUAUAAUCCUCGGUGAAUAUCAUAAAUUAGGAUCAACAAAGCUGAAGAACAAACGGGAAAGGAACCUAGAAAGAUCUUCUGCCGGUAGAAUAUAACUGAUACACUAUCCUCAUUCUCGAGAUCAAGGUCGUUUCUUGAAUUGCAGUUUCCUCACUGUAGUAUGGGGUCAUUACACUGCGAAGAACAAAGUGUCAUAUGAAUCAUUUAGAGCCCAAUCUUUUUCACUGAAACUCUUAUGAUCACAUAACGAAUUUAAACAUAAGGUUUAUUAGAUAUUUGUUGUUGUGAACUGAUAAUAUAUUUCUGGUGUUGACAAUGUUUUGAUUAUGGAUGCACUUCAAGAUGGGUGGCACAGAUUCUGUUGUACAGGCCUCCACCUGGAAUUUCAUCACUUGUUAUUUUUGUUUAGAAUGUCUAGGUGCAUUUUUCCUUUAAGGUGGAAACAGAUGUACUUGUAUAAGCAACAAGAAUACAAAGCGCCACUGCCAUACAUUGUGGAAGUUCAAUGCUUCUGUUUACAAAAUCUGCUUCCCAAAACAGAAGGAUUUAUAAUUUUUUAUUACAAUCAAGCGGACAUGAGCUGAUGAGUACAGAUGUAAACAUGUACUGAGAGCAGCACCCUUUCAAAAGUGGAUCAUUUACAAGUUGGAUAGUUUGAUGGUCUGAAAUUAGUGGUCGUGUUUCAGAAUUGUUAUCGAAUAGUAGAGGAUAUAUAUUAACUUCUGAAAUUAGUGGCUGUUUGUCAGAACUGUUAUCGAAUAACAGAGCACAUAUAUUAACUUCAAUAAGUGGAGUAAUAUCUUUGGAUUCGCUGUGAGGAAAGAUUACCAAAACAAAACAGAAGUGAGUGCGACGACCCAGAUGAGGGCGCUCUUGAGCCUCUUCCCGACCGACCUAGAUGCAGGAGCAGAACACCGCGGAUCUAAUCAGCCAACGAAUAAAGCCGAGGCAGGUAGAGGAAGUAAGGGAGGAAGAAGACUGACUUGUCCUGGUCGCCCUCGUAGUAGAAUAUGGUGAACGGGAUGACGAGGAAGACGAGGACAGCGUCGAGGAUGUAGACGACGAGCCAGAGCGUCUUCAUGGGCAGGAUAAGGGCGCAGGCCCCGUUGUAGGCGGCGUGCUUGCAGGUCUGGCGGUUGGCGACGUCAGCGGGGAGCAUGAGGAUGGAGAGGACGGCGACGGUGAUGCCGAGCACGACGACGAGCUUGGGGAAGUAGGCCUGGUUGGCAUCAUCCGGGUGCUGGUAGUUGACGAGCAUGUAGACGCUGACGAGGAGCACCAGGAUGCUGACCACCGCCGCCACGAUCACUAGCGCCACGUUAAAAACCCCAUCUCCUCGGGGCUCCGGUCCCGGUUCCGGCCCGCCGCCUCGCCCCCGUUGGUCGGUCAGAUCUCUCUGUCCCUAGAGGCGGGGGGAUACAGGCUAGGGUUUGGGCGUGGGCGGGGAAUAGGCUGCUAUGGUGUCGGCAGCGGGGCGGCCACCGGCGGGGAGGGCGGGAUCCGCGCGGGGUGGCGGGAUUUGGGCAGGCGGUGGGCUCGGGGGAGGGCGGUGGCAGCGAAGCAGCAGGGAGGGGCUGGAGGAGAUGAAACGAAAGAGGUCGCGUGACACAGCGACAGCGUCGUCCAAUCCCCUCGCUGCCGAUUUAAAAAAAGGUAAUGAUAACUCCCGAACGUUCAGGAGUUAAGCAUGGCAACCCGAACGGGUUUAGAUGGCAAGUUUAGUUUGCGUGAGAUUAGAGAAACAUGGCAAUUUUCUGACAAAAGAAAUGAAAAAGGACGAAGUUGCCAUCCCCUAUCAACUAAAGUUGCCAUCCCUAUGAACUAAAGUUGCCAUGUAAAAACGUUCGGGAUGAAAUGCUCAAAAUCCGAACGUUCGGAAGUUAUUGGAUUCAAAAAAAAUCCCCUUGCUGCCAAUCGCUGGCCCGUUUCUUUUUUCGCCCAAUCGCUAGGUGAUGACGUGGCUAUCACGGGAAGGCGCCCUUGAUGCGUAGUCGAAUGGUUUUAAUUAAUAGGAAGCGAGUGCUUACUCUAGUUACUGAAUUAUGUACACCAAAUAAAGCCAUUUACACGUAGUUAAUGACAAAAAAAGUUGAUGUUUGCUACGCAAACGUGUAGUACAAAUUAAGAAGUGCAAGAUAAAAAAAAAUGCUGGUCCUUGAUUCGUUGUUGAUCGUCAGCAUGCCAUCAUCAAUUUGUAGUUAAUUAUCAUACAAAUUGGCUCUUUCAUAGAGUUGGAGGCUAGCUCCUUUGAUCAGCACGCGCUUAAACAUAAACAGCACGUAUAUGUUUUGUCUCCGGAGUUCAAUUCUUCAUCGGCCAGCAAAAAUGGCCCGACCGGGUAGAGGAAAAGGCAUGUUUGUUAGUACGCCUGGAGGAAAUGCCUUUGAUUAGGGCAUCUUCAACAGCGACCAGUAAAUUUCCUCCCGCGUUCGUCCACGGAUAGGGGAUCAGUCCGCGGAUACGGAUACAGGAAUCAUCUAUCUAACGCUGUCCGCGUAUAUUUCAAACACAUUUUUUUUAAAAAAAUAGGAUGAAAUUCAUGCAAACACAAUGGAUUUCAUACAAACCGGACAAAAAUGUUUACAUUUUGGACAUAUUUUUUUUACUAAAAACUCUACAGCCGGCGCCGGCGAAUAUCCACUCCGGCGACAUGGAACCCUUGACUAGUCUACUGCCGGCCGCAGCGGAUCUCCAAUGUCGUCCCCAUGUCCGGCAACUAUGAGCCCUAGAGGUAUAUGCUUCAGCGCAAAGAGCGGCUCGCCUCCCUACCGCUCAUCGGAGUGGAACAACCAGCUGAUGCUUCUGCCGAUGGAAAGGGUCCCUACGCUACACGGAUUAGAGUUGGUUUUGGGCUGGGAACGGCGGUGGCCUGCCAGAGGGCAAGACACCGACUGUGUAUGCUGGUGUCACCUGGUGUGGCAUUCGUGGGACCCAAGCGGCAGCGCCUCCUCGAUGAUGGCGGCGAGCGCGGACGUGUUGGACACCACCUCGUCGAUGUCCGUGCAGCCCGCUUCUUUCUCUGUAGGAAGGACGCGGUUACGCUCGCGUUGACAUCGGAUGACUCGGUCACAUGCACGGGAGGGGCGGUACGACAUGGCACCGCCAAUGGCAGCCAUGAUGCCCGCGCCAGCGUGCUCUCUCCCAGUGCCGACCUAGAGCAACUUGCCACUCCUCUGCUCGUGAACGGUGGGCUUGACGGGCCACCUAGCCAUUUUUUAUGCCAGACAACUCUUCUUCCUGCUCGUCAGAUGUCAUGGAUAAAACUGUUUAAGGAGGAAAAUGAUGAGUAGACGUGUGAUGCGGUUCUUGCCCAACAUCUGACAUUGUUUAAAUAGCGAGGGGACACGAGAGGAGCCAACUGGCGUUCUGUUUAAUGCCAACCGGCUCGCGAACGAACAUGUGGCUGGAGUAAUUAUCCUGGCACACACGCGGGUUUAAUGGUGGAAGGUGGGCAGUCUGCAGGAAUGAGGCGAGGAUGUGUGCUUAGCCGGCGUGCAGCAGGCGGCGCCCUCGGCCGGCGUGCUGCAUCCAUUGCGGAGGCAGUGAGAGGUCGCGUCCGCUCUGCAGCGCAUGAAUGCGGGCAGCUGGCGCAGAGCGGGAACGCGUGCGGGCGAGGGAGGAGGGGGUUUGGGCGGGUGGUCAGAAGAGGUCGUGGGUGUUGUCCGAACGCCUGCAAAGCCCCCCUCCAUGUUUGUCUCCAGUUUGCGGGAGAAAGUAUGUCCGAACCGUCUCCAAUGGACCAAUACAGGCCCGCAUUGGAUGGCACAACACGUCCGGACCAUGUGGUCCGGAUGGUUGUGGACAGUUUAAUUGAGGGUCGGCGUUGGAGAUACCUUAGAGUUUAUGAAUCCAUUGUGUUUUUCUAAUCAUAAAAAAGCACUUACAAUAAGUUAUAAGGAAAGACACGUUUAUAUGUUAGGUUCAGACUCCAGCUUUCGUUUUACAUAUGCUUUAUUCAUCCGACUGAUUCCAAUAGAGUGAGCCUAGCGUUGUUUUUCUGGAAACUCGCGGGAUAAGGAGACAUGCAUACACAUUCUUUCAAGCAAAUCACAUCCAUCCUUUUUAACUCAUUUUUCUUCUUUUAAUAAUAUAAUAGAUCAUUUAUAUUUUUAUCUGAAACAGUUGACGUGUAAUUUAUAUUGUAAUCUGAGGAUAAUGUUUGGAUUUUACUUUCAAAUAUAUUUGAAAUGGCCAUGAUGGAAUCACAUCCAUUUAUUUUAUUAUUAUUUGAAUUUGAUCCAAAAGAUAAAUAAUGAGUAGAGGUCAUGUCAACUUUUCUGAGAACUUUGCUAAUCAAAAUAUAAUUGUAUUUAAAAACAUCUAUUUUUUAGCACGCAUGAAAAAGAUAACACGUAUCUUUUCACACAUAAUGAACGGUUGUCAUAAGAACUCAUGCCAUGCCACAACCUCCCUCCGACCCUGCCAACAUUGUUGCAGCUGCACUCGCAAGCCUUAGCGUAGAUGAUAAUUUAUACAAUUUGCGUAAAACAAAAUAAGAUCUACAAAUGAAUAGAAGCUAGAACGUACAUUGGCAUGCACACACAUUGCAAGCCAUACUAAGCUGAUAAGUGUUAAUAACUUGUACAACAUAUACAACACUUAAGACAAGUAAAAGCAAUUUGAUGAGUCAUGGUCUAUCAAAGCCACAUUACUAGUCUAAUCCAUCUUAACAGGUCACACAUGAUUAAAAUCUUGUUUGUGUGCAAGUCAAGCUUAUCUAGUUUACAUGUAACAACUUGUAGAACAUUACAAAAUUUAUGUUUGCUAAUAACUUCUAGAACACUACAACACUUGACAUGUAAAAGGAAUUUGAUGAGUUAGCGUACUAAAGCAAGUUAUAUUACUAGUCUUAUCUACCUUAACAGGCCACACAAGAUUACAAACCAAGUUCUGUGCCAGCCAUGCUUAUCUAGAUUAUGCGUAACAAUUUGCAGAAAAUUACAAACUUAGUUUCAGAAAAAUAGGCAAUCUAGAUUAGUGUUUGAGCUGUAAAGUGAGUAAAAUGAGUCAUGCGUGUUAUCACACCUUUUUGGUUGUGGAAUGAUAGUGCAACAACAAGGAACUUUAAUGACCAGUUCAAGAAUACACUUGUAAGUAGUGCCACCGAACACAACAUACCAAAUUAUGAUUUUGAGAAGCAUCCAAGCACUUCCACACAAGCAAAUGCCAAUUGUGAAAGAGAUCAUGCCAUGGCAGCUAUAAAUAGGCCCGUAGCAUGACGAUCAUCCUUCCUCAUCCAUCAUUCUCAUAAGUAGAGCGCAUCAUUUAAGCCAAGCAAGCAGUGCUCAAUACAAAUCCACCAUGAAGACCUUUCUCAUCCUUGCCCUCCUUGCUAUUGUAGCAACCACCGCCACAAUUGCAGUUAGAGUUCCAGUGCCACAAUUGCAGCCACAAAAUCCAUCUCAGCAACAACCACAAGAGCAAGUUCCAUUGGUACAACAACAACAAUUUCCAGGGCAGCAACAACCAUUUCCACCACAACAGCCAUAUCCGCAGCCGCAACCAUUUCCAUCACAACAACCAUAUCUGCAGCUGCAACCAUUUCCGCAGCCGCAACUACCAUAUCCGCAGCCGCAACUACCAUAUCCGCAGCCGCAACCAUUUCGACCACAACAACCAUAUCCACAACCGCAACCACAGUAUUCGCAACCACAACAACCAAUUUCGCAGCAGCAGCAGCAGCAGCAACAACAACAACAACAAAAACAACAACAACAACAACAACAACAGAUCCUUCAACAAAUUUUGCAACAACAACUGAUUCCAUGCAGGGAUGUUGUAUUGCAACAACACAGCAUAGCGUAUGGAAGCUCACAAGUUUUGCAACAAAGUACUUACCAGCUGGUGCAACAAUUGUGUUGUCAGCAGCUGUGGCAGAUCCCCGAGCAGUCGCGGUGCCAAGCCAUCCACAAUGUUGUUCAUGCUAUUAUUCUGCAUCAACAGCAACAACAACAACAACAACAACAACAACCGUUGAGCCAGGUCUCCUUCCAACAGCCUCAACAACAAUAACCAUCAGGCCAGGGCUCCUUCCAGCCAUCUCAGCAAAACCCACAGGCCCAGGGCUCUGUCCAGCCUCAACAACUGCCCCAGUUUGAGGAAAUAAGGAACCUAGCGCUAGAGACGCUACCUGCAAUGUGCAAUGUCUAUAUCCCUCCAUAUUGCACCAUUGCUCCAGUUGGCAUCUUCGGUACUAACUGAGAAGAGAAGAACUCUAGUAGUAGAUAUAUGAUACACCGUUUUCUUAGUCCAUGGUUUGGUCGUUGUAGCGGUGAAAAAAUAAAGUGACAUGCACUAUCAUGUAAGAACCCGAACUAUACUAGUUCAAACAUGGGAAUAAAAGACAAACACAUGUCUUGUCUACAUAUGAUUGUUUGUUUGAGUUCCACUCAUGUGCCCACUCACAAGUUCACCCCUAAUUAUAUAUAUUAUGCAUUAAGUAGAUAUUUAUGUUGCAUUAAUCUAAAGAUAACAAAAUGAGUCUGAAAUUUGAAUUAAAUUGAAG